AAAUUGAAGAGUUUGAUCAUGGCUCAGAUUGAACGCUGGCGGCAGGCCUAACACAUGCAAGUCGAACGGUAGCACAGAGAGCUUGCUCUCGGGUGACGAGUGGCGGACGGGUGAGUAAUGUCUGGGAAACUGCCUGAUGGAGGGGGAUAACUACUGGAAACGGUGGCUAAUACCG
rnacentral:rRNA from 2 species